rnacentral:misc_RNA from 1 species
CUGCCCUUCCCCCGCCGCCCCGCCACGGAUCUCGCCCCCGCGGAUCUCGCGCUAGCCACAACCGCGCACCCUCCCACGCGCGAUGGAAGCAGCCCGCCAUGCCCCUCCACAACCACGCAUCACCGUCCCCCGCGCCAUCCUGGGCACGGCGCCCCACGCGGGGCCUCAACGAAGAGGGGCUCGGCGGAGGCCGCGGAGGGGAGCGUCGAGAAGGAGAUGAGCAGCGCGCGGGAGGAGGAGAAGGAGAGCGACGCGGAGAUGAGGAGCGACGAGAGCAUCCCUUCCCCACCGCCCCUCGUCCGCGUCGGCCGCCGCCGAGCCCAUUUCAAACCCGGAGCCGAGGAAGCGUCCGUUCCCAUGGCCGCUGGGCUCGGUGGCUUCAAGAAUCCUCGAAUAGUCGAGGUAAUCGGCCAUGUCGUCGCCGACGGCCUGCGAGUCGAGCAGCGCGGCAGCUCGGCGUCCCUGGCACGGCGCACGGCGGCGUCCUCGGGGAAGUUGAGCUUGCGGUUACGAGGACGAGAGGGAGAACAGCGGAUUCAUCACCGCCAGGUGUCAGAGUGUGUUAAGACAAGAUGGUGGCGAAUGGCGACACACCUGCUAGAGGGAGUAUGGCGGCAGCUGCAAGCCUGCGCAGGCGUAGGACCACAAGCGCUGCUGCUGCUGGCGGAGGUGGUGCCAGCUCGAUGCUCCAGUUCUACACCGAUGAGGCUGCGGGCCGCAAAAUGUCACCAAACACCGUUCUGA